AUUCGGGCUUGUCUGAGGUUCACAGCACCAUUCACGUCCUCUUGCUGAAGGGUCCCAGGCAGACCACGGGGCCCCCGACACAGUCCAACUGCUCCCCACAGACUACCUUGGGUUCAGGCUCUACGCGUCAUGUUAACUCUGCAUCCACAGGCUCUAGUCCCUUAAAACAAGCCACAUGGAAUUUGCACAGGAUCCUGGAAGAGGAGUCGGGAUUCUUGGGCAACUAUCCAGGCCUGCGGCUUCCUGGUUGGAUGGCCUUGGGUGAGUCACUACUUCUCUGUGUCUCAGUAUUUUUAUCCAUGAAAUGACACUGCUGAUCACUGCCCUGCCUGCUUAGAGGGCUGGAAUGUGGGUUUUCAUUUCCCUACUAUGGCCAGCUCCGGCUGCUGAGGUCCCAGAAACAUGGCCAGGGCUCAGAACAUUCCUCAGCUCCCCUCCCUGGGAGGCCCUUGGAGGCCAGCAGCCAGGGCCUCAGGGACUUUUCUAGCGUGGCAAACCAAGCUGUAUUCUUUUGACCUCAAGUGUCCAUGCAAGAAACUCAAAAAGAGAAACCCCGCUUUUCUAGGGCUUCACUUAGAUCCAAACUUGGAGGAGGUGUGAGAUGGAGCUGUCCUCCUCCAGCCCUUCCCCCUCCUCCCUCUGGAGCCUCUCAGUGCCCUCGGGCCUCUGACCACCGACUUUCCUCAGAGCUCGCCUUCUGUUCCGGAGGAAACCUCCUCAGCCCCUUCCUCUUUCUCACUGUCCUGUGCCACCACCCCCAGGCCUGCCCCUCCAACCAUCAGCGCAUCUGUCCCUCAAAUCCCUGUACCCCUUCCUCCACAUUUCCAGGCCUCCAGCACCUGUGGUCGGACCUUAACCCUGCAGACCUUAAACCUUUACACUAUUGGGUCUGAAGACCAUCUGCAUCUAUUGUGGUUUUCUGAGUCUUAAUGAGAAGGAAUCGAUUCACCAACUGGAGGGGUUUUUGUAAAGCACAGCACCAAGGUGUCUGAAUACUUCAGGAAAUGCCCAUUGCCUUAGGAAUCCUUCCUCCUUAUUUUCAGGAAUUUCUUCUACCUGCGUCUGUCCCUGCCGGGUCACGCUCCUCACGGGACUUGUUGGGCUCUGGCUCCAGGCCUUCUAAGCCUGAACACUUGACUGUCUUCAGGAUCCCUGCUUCUGCGGCUCCCACAGGACAGUCUCUGGAUUCCCCUGGCAGGACUCCCUGUUCCCAGCCAGCCGUGGCUCCUUCGUCACUCAGUCACCAGCCACUGCCCCACCUUCCCUGCCCCUCUGCCCCCCAUUGCUCCAGCCCAGUUCAUUAUCUGGACCUUUUCUGCUUUUCACCCUCCACUGAUUUGCAGCAGGUUCCAAUUAAUAAUUUUAACGGUCACCAAUUUUCCCUGAGCCUCAGGCAAUAAUGGAGAUUUAGGUCUAAAUUAAAAUUUGCUAAUUUAGAAACAUUUGCCCACUAAUCGCUGCUGAAGCCCUACGACUUGGCAGGCUUGUAACUCACCGCUGUCCCUUUCCUGGUCUGAUCUCUCUGUCUCUGGAGGGGUUAACUCAGUGCUUCUCAAUCCAGUUGAUUUUGCCUCCAGGGGAUGUUAGACAAUGACUGGACACACUUUGGGUUGUUACUACUUGGGGAGGGGAAAUGCUACUGGCCUUAGUGGGUAGAGGCCUGGGAUACAGCUAAACAUCCCACAAUGCACAGGAAAAGUCCCCACAACAGAGAAUUCUCUGGCUCAAAAUGUCAAUUAUGCUGAGGCUGAGAAACCCGAAUAUAGAACGUUCCUGGGCUUCUCCCCCAGAAACCUUUCCUUGCACAGUCCUGCAUUCUCUAGAGCAGGACAAAGGUUUUGUUUCUUACUUACAAGUGCAAAAUUAUCUUCUUAGUUGUUCGAGAUCUGUUUUCUUUGUUUAUUUUAACGGAUCCAAUACUCAAACUCAGAAGAUUUUGCCAGGAAAUCUGUAUUCACAGCUUGUGCUGGAAGAUGGGGGAUCUUUUCACACUGGUCUCCAGUUCCCAGGUGGCAACAUCCAGUGGGAGGUAGCAGCUCCCCAUAGCCUUGUACAUGGGGCAUUACCUAUCUGGUCACCAGUCUCCGCCAUUCCCUGUUGCUGUUUGACCUUGAGUAUCAGUUGCCACUUAUUACCAUGCUUGCUCUGCUGUUUUCUCAUAGCAGAGAAACACAUGUGUUCCAAUCCUGAACCAAAAGUGCGAAAAUCGCAGGUAGACUGGGUUGUACCCACAUCCGUCUCUCAUUUUUGUCGUCUACUUUGUUUCUGGGCAUUUGACUGUGCACUUCUUGCUCCAGAUGGCUCCUGCUGAGCAUGGGAGUGACCCUUGACUCCUGUAGAGUCCCUCCCAGGCCCAGCCCUGCAGAUUCACAAGAGGCCAGCAGGGUGAGUGGAAGGUAAUUCUCGUGUUCCUUUUAAGCUUCCUGCUGGGAGGUGGGGCUCCUGUGGAUUGGGGUUCCCAGUGGCUCCACAUCAAACACUCCCCAUGGAGCUCUAGAGAGAGCUGCAGAGCAGGCCUCAGUCACUCAGCCCGAGGGAGCCCUAUCCCCACCCCAUUUCCUAACACAGCGUUGGUGAAUUGGUCCACGAGCUAAGGCAGGCUUGCUGCCUGCUUUGUCAAUAAAGUUUUAUUGGUGGAUAGUCAUUGCCAUUCACUCACCUAUUGUCUGUAGCUGCUUUCCUGCUACACUGGCAGAACUGAGUAGUUUUGCCAGAGACUGUAUGGCUCACAAAGCCUAACAUAAUUUACCACCUGUUUCUUCGCAGAAAAAGUUUGCAGACCCC
rnacentral:lncRNA from 1 species